rnacentral:misc_RNA from 1 species
GCUUGCCUAAAAGGAGAGCAAAAAGUUCGCAGGCCAUGGUGGGCUCCAUCCUGCCUCUCUGUAGUCUUUGUUAAGGUAGCAAAACGCAACAGACAGUCACGCGUUGUUUCCUUGAAGCUGGAACCCUGAAGCCAAACCGUAUGUGUAUGUAUUUGUAGUUUUGUUUUUGUUUAGGAAACAGAAUAUUAGAUAAGUCAACUUUU